CUACGGGACGCUGCAGUGGGGAAUAUUGGACAAUGGGGGAAACCCUGAUCCAGCAAUGCCGCGUGUGUGAAGAAGGCCUGCGGGUUGUAAAGCACUUUCGGUUGGGAGGACUGCUUCUAGCACUAAUAUUGUUGGAAGUUGACGUUACCUUCAGAAGAAGCACCGGCUAACUCGCGUGCCAGCAGCCGCGGUAAUACGGGGGGUGCAAGCGUUAAUCGGAAUUACUGGGCGUAAAGCGCGCGUAGGCGGCUAGAUCAGUCGGGUGUGAAAGCCCCGGGCUUAACCUGGGAACUGCAUCCGAUACUGUCUAGCUUGAGUACAGGAGAGGAGAGUGGAAUUCCACAUGUAGCGGUGAAAUGCGUAGAUAUGUGGAGGAACACCAAUGGCGAAGGCAGCUCUCUGGCCCGAUACUGACGCUGAGGUGCGAAAGCGUGGGGAGCAAACAGGAUUAGAUACCCGCGUAGUC
rnacentral:rRNA from 1 species